rnacentral:lncRNA from 1 species
UUAUUCACAAAGCAAGCAUAAUCUGUCAGCUACUCAAGUUCUUCAACAUUGUAUAUACCUUGAGGCUUGAACAAAGGGAAGAUGAUAGCAAUUGCAAGAGGGGAUCGGCGACUAGUGAGGAGGACGACGACAGUAGCAAGGGGUCGACAACAACAAUUGAUGAGGACCAAGGAAGAAGCCAAAAAGCUUUUUAAGGUUUCAAAGGGAAAAAAAGGGUUGAUUUGAUGAGUGUAUACAACAAUCAAGGAAGGGAAAGAAGACAAAAGGGGAUCAAAGAGGCUAAAAAUUAAAUUUCACCACUCUCCCUUAGUUUUUCGAUCAACUCUGGUAGGGAGGAAGUGUGGUUGGCGACCAAAUUGUGAAGCACUCAAAACCGACGAUUAUAGCCGACCUCCUAAACCAACAUCGAAUAACUGAGCCGAUUGUGACUGUCGAAGUCAAUUCUGGUCGAUUGCACAGUUGCAAUCGAUCAGUGCUCUCUCCUAGUUUUUUGGUCAGUUUAUGUACAUGGGUACUCGUUUGUGCUACAAAAUUUGUUCAUGUAUAUAGCAAACCUUUGCCUUGACAAGCUUUACUUUGGUUCUUACCUUAUACAGGGC